CUUAAACAAAAAAUUCUUAUAUAAUUUUAAAUAAUUAUAAUAUUAAUUAAAUCUCAAAUAUUAAAUUUAUUUAAAUAAAUAAAAUUUUAAUUUCUCAAUUAAACUUUUCAUUGUAAAUGAAACAUUUUCUCUUAAACUAAAAUUUUAUUCUAAAAACAUUUUCCAAUAUUUUUACUAUUUUACGUCUUAUUCCAUAAAUGAAACUGACGGGCAAUUUGUACACUUUUCAAAACCAAUUUCAAUUUAAUCAAUUUUAUUAAAUUUACUAUUAAAUCCUCUUUCAAAUUAAUUUUUAAAAUUGAUUUAAUAGUAAAUUUAAUAAAAUUGAUUAAAUUGAAAUUAGUUUUGAAAAGUGUACAAAUUGCCCGUCAGUUUCAUUUAUGGAAUAAGUUGUAAAAUAGUAAAAAUAUUGGAAAAUGUUUUUAGAAUAAAAUUUUAGUUUAAGAGAAAAUGUUUCAUUUACAAUGAAAAGUUUAAUUGAGAAAUUAAAAUUUUAUUUAAUUAAAUAAAUUUAAUAUUUA
rnacentral:misc_RNA from 1 species